GACGAACGCUGGCGGCGUGCUUAACACAUGCAAGUCGAACGGAAAGGCCCUGCUUUUGUGGGGUGCUCGAGUGGCGAACGGGUGAGUAACACGUGAGUAACCUGCCCUUGACUUUGGGAUAACUUCAGGAAACUGGUGCUAAUACCGGAUAGGAGCUCCUGCUGCAUGGUGGGGGUUGGAAAGUUUCGGCGGUUGGGGAUGGACUCGCGGCUUAUCAGCUUGUUGGUGGGGUAGUGGCUUACCAAGGCUUUGACGGGUAGCCGGCCUGAGAGGGUGACCGGCCACAUUGGGACUGAGAUACGGCCCAGAAUCCUACGGGAGGCAGCAGUGGGGAAUAUUGCACAAUGGGCGGAAGCCUGAUGCAGCAACGCCGCGUGCGGGAUGACGGCCUUCGGGUUGUAAACCGCUGUCGCCUGUGACGAAGCGUGAGUGACGGUAAUGGGUAAAGAAGCUCCGGCUAACUACGUG
rnacentral:rRNA from 1 species